AGAUUAAUACCCCGUAAUAAUUGAACGCAUCGUUUGAUUUUGAAAGCUCCGGCGGUUUGAGAUGAGUAUGCGUCUGAUUAGCUAGUUGGUGAGGUAACGGCUCACCAAGGCGACGAUCAGUAGGGGACCCUGAGAGGACUAACCCCCACACUGGUACUGAGACACGGACCAGACUCCUACGGGAGGCAGCAGUAAGGAAUAUUGGUCAAUGGAGGCAACUCUGAACCAGCCAUGCCGCGUGCAGGGAUGACGGCCCUAUGGGUUGUAAACUGCUUUUAUACAAGAGAAAACCCUGGUACGUGUACCAAGUUGAUAGUAUUGUAAGAAUAAGCAUCGGCUAACUUCGUG
rnacentral:rRNA from 1 species